UGGCUCAGAUAGUAAAGCGUCUGCCUGCAAUGCAGGAGAUCCAGGUUCGAUCCCUGG
rnacentral:tRNA from 1 species